rnacentral:sRNA from 1 species
AUUUUUUCUUCUUCUUCGUU